AUCACUUAAUUUAUAUUGAUUUUAGUCAGGCUUUUGACUAGAGUCCCACAUGCCAGGCUCCUAAGCAAACCAGAUAAAUGGGGUCGAGAUGCAAUUCCAAAGAGUCGUCGUCAAAGGUUGGUGGUCAAACUGGGAGGGCGUAUCUACUGGGGUCCCACAGGGGUCAGUCCUGGGUCAUCUUCAUUAAUGACUCGGAUAAAGGAGUGGAGAGGAUGCUCCUAAAAGCAGCAGAAGCUGGGCGGGGUCGCAAGCACUUUGCAGGACAGCGUCACAAUUGGGAGAAUUGGUCUGAAAUCCACAAGAUUCAAUUCAGUAAAAACCAGUGCAAGGAACCGCACGCAGGGAAAAUCAAACGCGCGGCUACAAACCCAUCGGCGAGGUGGUCGUGCGGCUGCAAAGGCCCUGGGGCUUAGAGCAGAUCGCAGCUUGCAUAGGAGUUGCAAAAAGGGUCAUUUCGUUCUGGGCUGUGUUAACGCUAUUUGAACAGGGUAACCAGGAAGACCUGGGUCUUUCUAGGCCUGUCACCCGAUACGGUUCCCAGGCAAGAGAAUGGAGCGGCCGAUACGGGAUCCGACUGAUAAAGAAUGAAGAGGAUAAUGUAAUUAGGGCCAGUCCCCGCGGGUGUAUGGAGAAUCGAUCCCGAAGGCGCGCUCUGCUUGCACGGGGAUUACGGGUUUGGCUGGCGAAGGUCGCGGGGCGGCUGUAACAGCCUUGGGCGUCAGCGGGACUAACGAGCGCCGGGUCAAACGAAGCCGGCCCGUGUUCGGUGGCUGAGAAGCUGGCUCCCGGCGAAGGGUAAAUGGGAUCCGGCGUGGAGCAGGCCCAGCAGACAACAUCAGCUCACCCCCUCCAUCAAGUUUGCAGAAGACCCAGAAAUUGGAGGAGGUGAAUUCAGUCCAGGGCCCGUCAGACGACCCCCCGGCAGCCCCCCGGAGCUCUCGUGUGGCCAUGGGCAGAGACCGAGGGGCCCCCAGCGCCAUGGGACCCGGCCCGGCCAGGGGUGAGACGGGCCCAGAGGAUCUAGCAGCACCCUGCCCCACGGAUUACUGAGCUGGGGGGAAUCCCUUUCCUGUCCGCCGCCCGGCGUCCCAGCUCGUGCGAGCCAGCCGGAUGGAGCCUCUGGCUGCACCUGAGACCCCUUGUUCAGCAUCUGCUCCAGCUCUGCACCCCGAAAGUGGACUCUCUGAGCAGACCGGCCGCCCCCCCGGCCAGGCCCCGCAGCCCCCCAGCAGUGCCAGGAGCUUGGAGGGCCUCCAGCCCCACGGCGGCUGGCCGAAGACCCCACCCGGGGGCCCAUCGCUGCUCCCGCCGCCCCCCAGCCAGCGCCCCCCCCCGGCCUGAAGAUGGGGGAGCCCUGGGCACGCCCUGGAGCCCGCCCGGCCGUGCCCCACAACCUGGGGGGUCACCCGGCCCCAUGCCCCACCCACCGCGCCUAUGUCUGCCCCCUGCCCGAGAGCCCCGGCUGGAGCCCGCUGACCCCCAGCCUGGGCGGGGUCCCCUCCAAGGGCUGGCAGGGGGACUCCGCUGGGGAGGGUGACUCCGUGUACCCCCCCAGCUCCUCCUUCACCUGCUGGAACCGGGAGGGCUCAGGGGUCCUGCGCUAGGCCCCCCGGGGACAAUAAAGUGCAGA